GUGUCACGUGGUAUAACCUCAUAAUAAUUUUCUCUUUUUGAAGACCCAGGAUUCAUGAUCAGAGAUCCAGUUAAAAGGGUGUCUUGCAUCUCAAAACAUCUGGAACAUCUCUACGAACUGAAUUCAGAUUGUCUGGGACAAGCCUUACUCUCCUGGCCUACCACCAGCAGCUACAUGCUGGGGGGAAUUGCAUGGGAACUGGGAAGGUCCCACUGCUCUCUGCUGGGCUGCAAAACCUGGGUCACUCCUCUUCCCCUAAGCAAGGUCUGUGACGUAGGAGAGAUGUUUCUGUCCCUCCCUGGAGAGUUGUCCAAGUAGUCUGAAUGCUGCCCCUGGACCAUAACCAAAGUUGCCCCCUUCUCACAAGUCAGAGAGCCUUGUCGCAGGCUUGCUAACCCACUCCCAGCUAGCUUUGCAACCUCCAGCCUCCUUGGCAGGAUAGCACAAAACAGGAAACACUGGAAGCCUCAUAGCCCCGCCUAUUGCACAAGAUACUCUGGUAAUUCCCCUGAUGACCAGUAGCCAACCAAAAUUCUGCUACCACCCCCACAAAUGCCUUUAGCCUGCAAGAACCACUGACUUGCUAAGAGGUUAACCUGCAUGGCCCAUUAAACUGCUGACACCAUUUACAGUGCUUGGGAGACUCUUAUCCACAAGUGUCAAUUACUGGCCUGAAGGGUAAACUGCACGGCUCAAUAUAAUUCCUGCUUCCCGAAGUGCACCGAACCGAAAAACGAGAGUAGCCUCCCAAGAGCUCCACCCUCUCAUCUCUGCAGAAGACAGUGCAUCUGCUUGCAUACACAACACACCACUACUACAACCUACAAAUAGCACUGGAGAAAACCACUACACUAAAGCUAUUUAUCACCAAGGAAUUAAUCAAAAGCUUUGGCCUCAUAAGGCACUAACAAGCAAAGCCAAAGGACCCUACUCAACAUAAGCAAAGGUCUUACCCUCAAUGGGGAAAAAUUUCCACAGAACUGAAAGUGAAUUCCAAAAUAAAUAGUGACAGCUUCUUCAUAUAAAAAGGACAUAGCAUAAGAACUCCAACACCAUGAAGAAACAGUGUGUUGUGAUACCUCCAGUGGAACAUAUGAGCUCUCUAGCAAUGGAUCUUAACUGCAAUGAAACUUUUGAAAUGAAAGGUAAAGCAUUGAAAAUAUAGAUUUUAA
rnacentral:lncRNA from 1 species